rnacentral:rRNA from 1 species
GACGUAGGGUGCAAGCGUUGUCCGGAUUUAUUGGGCGUAAAGAGCUCGUAGGCGGCUUGUUGCGUCGACUGUGAAAACCCGCGGCUUAACCGCGGGCUUGCAGUUGAUACGGGCAGGCUAGAGUUCGGUAGGGGAGACUGGAAUUCCUGGUGUAGCGGUGAAAUGCGCAGAUAUCAGGAGGAACACCGGUGGCGAAGGCGGGACUCUGGGCCGAUACUGACGCUGAGGAGCGAAAGCGUGGGGAGCAAACAGG